rnacentral:rRNA from 1 species
UACGUAGGGCGCAAGCGUUGUCCGGAAUUAUUGGGCGUAAAGAGCUCGUAGGCGGUCUGUCGCGUCUGCUGUGAAAACUCAGGGCUUAACCCUGAGCUUGCAGUGGGUACGGGCAGACUAGAGUGCGGUAGGGGAGACUGGAAUUUCUGGUGUAGCGGUGAAAUGCGCAGAUAUCAGGAGGAACACCGGUGGCGAAGGCGGGUCUCUGGGCCGUAACUGACGCUGAGGAGCGAAAGCAUGGGGAGCGAACAGG